UUAUUCUGACAAUGUAGGAAAAAAAUUCAACCAACUCUUAAUGUACUGUGCUCCAAACACUGGAAUAAUCCAAGGCUUUCAGAGGAUGUAAAGGGGCAAAAAAUGAGUAAAGAUUACACAUCACAGAUGCAUUAAAACACUUUUCCUUGUAAGUGCCCAACUCAAAGUGGCUCAAAGCACAAGAGAAAAGUUAUUGGUUUGUAUAAGUGGAAAGUCCAAGGAAUGUUUCUGAUUUCAGGAAGGGUUUGAUUCAUGGAUUAAGAAUUCUGACUGACCCUAUUCCUCCUGACCCAGCUUGGCUCCAUCAUUUUCAGUGAGGAUUCCAUCCUAAAUCCCUUCCGAGGCUGUGAGGAAGAAUCUGUUCUAGGCCUCUCCCUUAGUCUUGGGUGGUUUGCUGGAACUCUUUGUGUUCCUUAGCCUAGAGAAACACCAUCCUGAUCUCUGUGUCUAAAUUUCCCCUUUUUAUAAAGAAACCAGUCAUACUGGAUUAAGGCCCUCCCUAAUGACUUAUUUUAACUUGAUCUGAAAAGACACUAUCUCCAAAUAAGGUCACAUUCUAAGAUUCUGGGGGUUAGGACUUUAACGUACCUUUGGCAGGGACACAAUUCAACCCAUAAAAGCUUGAUUGCAUUUUAGAAACGUGUGAUAUCAGAUAUUUUAAGUACACUUGACACACAGUUGGUACUCCCUAAAAUUCAGAAGUUUCAGAAGCUUCUUAGCAAAGACCAUUAUGUCUUUCUGGAACAAUUCAUGCCACCAUGAAAAGUACAGGCUCUUAUCAAAAGCAAAAACUAGUAUUUCCUCCCAGGUGAGCACAAUACGAUCAUUGAAUAUUUCUUGGUUACUUGGAUAUUCACUUAUAAGGUAUCAUAUAACACUUACCUCUUUCCACAAGUACUAGGAACGACCAGCAUAGUUCCAAACCUGGAAAGGAAGAAGCAAACAUUGUCUCUGUCAGAGACAAGCUAAUGUCAAUCAUUAUUGUCAGAUUAAUCACAAAUGCCAUUCACAGUAAAAACUUUUCAGGCAAAUUAAUCAAGUAUAAUUGAAUACCUGGAAGAUAAUAUACUGUGUUA
rnacentral:lncRNA from 1 species